AAGGACGGCCAUGCCACCCUGAACACAACCGAUCCCGUCUGAUCUCAGAAGCUAAGCAAGGUUGGGCCUGGUUAGUACUUGGUUGGGAGACCACCUAGGAAGACCAGGUGCUGUAGGUA
rnacentral:rRNA from 1 species